UAUGUGAUCGUCUCUCGCAUAUCAAUAAGCGGAGGAAAAGAAACUAACAAGGAUUCCCCUAGUAACGGCGAGUGAAGCGGGAAGAGCUCAAAUUUGAAAUCUUAAAGGGUUUCCCUUUACGAAUUGUAGUUUAAAGAAGUGUUUUCUGUUGAGGUUUUGGUAAAAGUUCUUUGGAAUAGGACAUCAUAGAGGGUGAGAAUCCCGUAUUUGACCUUUACUUUCAACUUUGUGAUACACUUUCAAAGAGUCGGAUUGUUUGGGAAUGCAGUCCAAAAUGGGUGGUAAAUUUCAUCUAAAGCUAAAUAUUGGCGAGAGACCGAUAGCGAACAAGUACCGUGAGGGAAAGAUGAAAAGAACUUUGAAAAGAGAGUUAAACAGUACGUGAAAUUGUCAAAAGGGAAGCGUUUGACACCAGUGUUGUUUUUCUGAAUAUCAAUUAAAGAACUGUUUAUGCUAAGUUGUUUAGACUUUAUCAGCUAACUGUUUAGUUUUGAGCUUUUCUUUAAUGCACUUUUCAGUUAACAAGUCAACAUCAAUUUCUUUUGCUGUAAAAAAGCUUGAGGAAGGUGGCUUGAGAUUCGUCUUAAGUGUUUAUAGCCUCUUGCCUAUGCAGUCGGAGAGAUUGAGGUCUGCAGCGUAGAUCCUUCGGGGCUAAAUGCAUUUGUGCUAAGUUAUAGCAUUUUAUAGACAACUUGUUGACUAUGAUUUGUCUUGUAGCUUACUCGCUUAUGUUAUUUUACCUACGCUUAGGAUGUUGAUCUACAGAGCGAGAGU
rnacentral:rRNA from 1 species